rnacentral:rRNA from 1 species
CUUUCAAUUGUGAAGAAGGGGUUAUGGUUAAUACCCAUGAUCUUUGACGUUAACUUUAGAAGGAGCACCGGCUAACUCCGUGCCAGCAGCCGCGGUAAUACGGAGGGUGCAAGCGUUAAUCGGAAUUACUGGGCGUAAAGCGCGCGUAGGCGGUUAUUUAAGUCAGAUGUGAAAGCCCCGGGCUCAACCUGGGAAUGGCCUCUGAUACUGGGUAACUAGAGUUUGGAAGAGGGGAGUAGAAUUUCAGGUGUAGCGGUGAAAUGCGUAGAGAUCUGAAGGAAUACCAGUGGCGAAGGCGGCUUCCUGGCCUAAAACUGACGCUGAGGUGCGAAAGCGUGGGUAGCAAACGGGAUUAGAUACCCCGGUAGUCCACGCCGUAAACGAUGUCAACUAGCCGUUGGGCGCCUUGUGCGUUUAGUGGCGCAGGUAACGCAUUAAGUUGACCGCCUU